GACGAACGCUGGCGGCGUGCCUAAUACAUGCAAGUCGAACGCAGUGGGGACGGGUGAGUAGCACGUGGGUAACCUCCCAUCAGAGGGGAUAACACUUGGCAACAGGUGCUAAACCGAUACUGAUGGAUGGACUCGCGGUGCAUUAGCUAGUUGGUGAGGUAACGGCUCACCAAGUCCACGAUGCAUAGCCGGCCUGAGAGGAUGAUCGGCCACACUGGGACUGAGACACGGCCCAGACUCCUACGGGAGGCAGCAGUAGGGAAUAUUGGGCAAUGGGCGAAAGUCUGACCGAGCAACGCCGCGUGAGUGAAGAAGGUUUUCGGAUCGUAAAGCUCUGUUGUUAGAGAGGCGGUAUCGAACGAGAAAGCCACGGCUAACUACGUGCCAGCAGCCGCGGUAAUUC
rnacentral:rRNA from 1 species